rnacentral:rRNA from 1 species
AGCGCAGGCGGGAAGACAAGUUGGAAGUGAAAUCUAUGGGCUCAACCCAUAAACUGCUUUCAAAACUGUUUUUCUUUGAGUAGUGCAGAGGUAGGCGGAAUUCCCGGUGUAGCGGUGGAAUGCGUAGGUAUCGGGAGGAACACCAGUGGCGAAGGCGGCCUACUGGGCACCAACUGACGCUGAGGCUCGAAAGUGUGGGUAGCAAAACA